ACACACACACACACACACACAUACACACACUGCAUAUGACCCGAGGGUCAAGGUGCACUGACUCUGAGGGUUUUCUAACUGGGCCUCUUGAAACUCUUUCCUUGCAUUCCAGUGCCCGGAGGAGGGGGUUGUUGCAGUCAGGCAUAUUACAAGAGAGAGAAAGAGAGAGAGAGAGAGACAGAGAGAAGGAGUGAUAGAGAGUAAUAGAAAAGAGAGAGAGAAAGACAGGGAGAGAGAGGAAGAAGUGGGGGUAGAAUGGAGCUGGAAGGUAUUAUGCACGAUUUCCUUGAAGCUCCUGCUUGUUCCCUCCCACCUCUACCACUCUGUAAGGGAAACGCUGAAAACUUGAACCUGCUAUUCUCCAGCUGCCUCGGCCUUCUAACUAGCUCACUUGUUUUUUUUCUCUUCUGUUCCACUCUUAUGUGUCUCUCUCCUAUUCCCUCACCCUCUCCCUGUUUCUCUCUCUCCCUUUCUCCUGGCUCUGUGUAACAGGAUCACUUUGUUUCCGUAGCCUUUUUUUCCGCGGUGCUGCGGACACACAUGGAGGAGAGGAUUGGAUUUGAGGAGAUACUGACGGGGGUGCACAGCUGCAACGGUCCCCUCCAUCUCCACACCAGGACUAAUGCCGGCCCCUCUCUCUCUCUUUCUCUCUCUCUCUCUCUCUCUCUCUCUCUCUCUCUCUCUCUCUCUCUCUCUCCCUGUGUGUUUGACUCUCCCUCUGUCGCACUCUCUCUCUGCUUUCUGCCGCCCAGAGGGGUGGGGGGUGCCAUAUGGGAGCUCAGAAAAAUGGAAGUGGAUCAGAGAUAGACGAGAGAGGAAUCUGUCAUUCUUGGGCUUGUAUGUCGGGAUCUUUGUGGAAGGCAAACUCAAAAUUCACCAUGGCAGUGAAACCCCGCCAGCAAGAGACUUCCAUGAAGGGAGGCCUGACAAUUCUGACAAGUCUGUCUCUUCCCGCGCCCAAAGGUUAGACAAAUCCCAACUCCUGAAACCUUACCUCCUAGUUUUUCUGUGUGAUCCAUUUUGUUAGCAGAGAGUGGAGGCUAGUGCUCGGGUGUAUGACUGCGUUGUUUGCACAUUUGCAGCAGUAGAGUGAGUCAGUAAAAGUGUCAGACUGGCGUAACAGACGGCCUGCACGAACUAAUUAGCCUGGAGUCAUUUGGAAGCGGCUCAGCUCGGCCCAGGUGCCCACUGUGCACAGAAAGAGACCAGACGACCUUUUUACCCAGCCCCGUCCCACGGCAGUCACUUAAAACAGUGAUGGAUGUUUUCCCUACCAGCCCUCGUUUUCAUUUUCUCUCCGCCCUCCCUCUUCCCCACCAUUUUCCCCCUUCCUCUCCUCUCCCUCCAACACCACUCUCCCUUUAUGUAUCCCAUCUUCUCUCCUUGUUUUUCUACCAUUCUUUUACAGAAUGACGAGAAGGAAGAGGAAGAAGAAAGGCAGGGGCAUUGAAGUGAAGUGGAGGUUGGUGUUUCCUGCCAGCACAGCGUCAAGGACCCCCCCCCCCCCCCCCCCCCCCCCCCCUCCCAACUCCUCAUUAGUAUGCAGUGGCUUAGGUGACAUGGCUCCUGGGUUGGGUCUCGACUGCAGGAACAUCAGUGACGUGGAGGAGAGCGGGAUAGCAGGUAAGGACAAUGAGAACAGGCAGAAAAAAAGGGAGACGGAGGAAAGGGAAGGACGAGAGACGGGCACAAGGCAAGGGAUGGACUUUUAAUGAUUUAACACCCCAGCACAUACACACCCUUGUACACUUUACACUGCUGUAACACACACAUUUUCAGUCUAGCCUACUCCCGAAGCCAUCUCUACAGGAAAGGGCACUAGAAAUGUUUGUUGUCUUUAAUUAAAUUAACUAUAACUAUCUGCUGAGUCGUAAUUAUCUAGGAACAUGCAGUUUCUGAAAUAUUCUGUAUUUUACUUGGGGUAUGCGGUUUCUAACAUGCAUUCAUUUAUUAUUCAUUUAUUUACUUCUUGUAUUGUGUAUCUUAACAGAAAAUGUAAUAAUUGUAGAUGUUACAAUGUCUGCCUUUCAUAUUGUAAACA